GCAGUCUCAAGUGGAAUAACCAGAAAAUGCUGAUUCUACUGUAUUUGGUGCUGAUGCUCAGAGUGGGGCGUAAGAUGCACAGAUUAUCGGCUCUUUGAGACAAAGAUUGUUGGUGUUGGAGAUGACCUGAAACUAACAUGUCCCCGCGAAUCUUCUGCAACCUCCUUUUGGAUCAGACUUGUUUCUGGAAACCUUCCCGAAGUCUUAGGAAGAACAUUUAAAACUGAGAGUGCUGAUCCUAGCAUUACAGUCUCAGGAGAAGCUGGAACAUUUGUUCUGCAGAUUAAAAACGUAAAGCGAAGUGAUACUGGAAUUUACGUCUGUUUUAAAACACAACAAAAGUGGAUAUUUUUGAAAACUGUGGACCUGAGAGUUGAAGGACCAGAAUCUGAUAUCACUGCAGUCCCUCCAUCUGAUCCAGUCCGUCCAAGAGACUCUGCAACUCUUCAGUGUUCAGUCCUCUCUGACUGUGAGAAUCAAACAUGUCCAGGAGAUCUCAGUAUGUGCUGUUUCAGAGUUGGAUCAAAUGAAUCUCAUCCAAGUUUGAAUUAUACUCAACAAAAUAGUGCUGAAGAAUAUGAAAACAACCCUGACGGACUCUCAACAAAGAAAUGUAUCUUCAAGAACGUCAACUCCUCUGAUGCUGGGACUUAUUACUGCGCUGUGGACACAUGUGAGGAGAUAUUUUGUAGAAACAGGUCAAAACCCAACCCUGAAGGAGCCAACGAGAGCGAUUCGCAGAAGACCAGUACAGUUCUGAUUCUGUUAUGUGCUUCUUUGGCUUUAAGUCUGCUGUUUAUAGCCUUUCUCAUGUAUUCAAUCAAGAAUCUCAAGAAAAAUUCUUGUCAUUGUUGCAAUGGUAAGCAAAGUCAUAGAAUGGAUCAAUCAGAUCUGUCAGUAUUUAGCAAAACUUAAUUCAGAUCAAUGCUGUCUUUUCACUUUGUAAUACAGAUGCUGUCGCUCUGCAAACAAAUGCAGCCACAGCCAGUGCUGUUCACCAAAGUCAGCAGAUAGAUGAGGACUCAUUGGUUUAUUCUGCUCCAACCUUCACCAGUCGGAAAUCUAGAAAAGCAGAAAGAAGGGAUGCAAAAACAGAGGAGGAAGAGAGUAUCUAUACUGAUGUCAGGACUUGUGGGUUGGAGUAACAGUGGAUUUGAUUUGAUCCUGGUUUUAUCUGCACUUUGUGGGAGAUGUACUUUUUUUAAAUUUUGUAUAACUUAUACAACAUGUAUUAUAUUUCAUGUCAAAUGAAUCCCCAUGAUGCAAAAAUAUAUUAUAAUAUAAUAAAUACAGCAAUAGAUGCUGUAAGGAUCUGAUAUCUGUAAGUCUUUGUUUCGUUGUGAGUCGUUAUUAAAGUUAUAACUCUU